GCUCGCUUAACUCAGUUGGUUAGAGUGUGGUGCUAAUAACGCCGAAGUCACAGGUUCGACCCCUGUAGUGAGCA
rnacentral:tRNA from 1 species